rnacentral:lncRNA from 1 species
CCAGAUCAGCAAAUUUUAACAGAUUUUUUUUUCUAUUUCUUUCCAACUUUUCUCAGUAUUUAUAAAUGUAUAAAGAGUAGGGCUGCCUGCAAUUUUCUGAUUAGAUUGUAAACUUCACUUUAUGGGUUUUUGCUUGCUUGUUAUUUGUUUGUUUGUUUGACAGGCUCUCCUCUGUAGCCCGAGUACCCUGAAAUUCAGACGGUCUGGUCCUCGUGCCUCAGCCUCUGAGAUAGGACUAAAGACAGACGUGAGCCACCACAUCUGGAUGAGGAUGGCUCUGCCAACUGAAAGACCUGGGCAAGUCCCCUAGAUCCUACCCAGAAAAGGGCAUUGCCAUAGUUACUCCAGGGACCUUUGGACCUCACAAGAGUUAUUGGAGAAUGAGAAGUGGACACAUGCUACAGGUUGUAGACUCUUGAAAACGGAUAUAGGAAAAGUCAGUCAGUCGGUCAGUAGAAUUUCAUUUGAAGGCAGCUAACCGUGAGCUCGGAUCCUUUUGUGUCACGAACGCCGACGGACGAAUCGUUUGAAGACACAGGGCUGCGGAACAGCUCUGACCAUGUUAGAGACCUGGCACUCGAACUUCACCUUCCAAAUAAAAC